AACGAACGCUGGCGGCAUGCCUAACACAUGCAAGUCGAACGAGACCUUCGGGUCUAGUGGCGCACGGGUGCGUAACGCGUGGGAACCUGCCCUUAGGUUCGGAAUAACUCCCCGAAAGGGGUGCUAAUACCGGAUAAUGUCUUCGGACCAAAGAUUUAUCGCCUUUGGAUGGGCUCGCGUUGGAUUAGCUAGUUGGUAGGGUAAAAGCCUACCAAGGCGACGAUCCAUAGCUGGUCUGAGAGGAUGAUCAGCCACACAGGGACUGAGACACGGCCCAGACUCCUACGGGAGGCAGCAGUGGGGAAUAUUGGACAAUGGGCGAAAGCCUGAUCCAGCAAUGCCGCGUGAGUGAUGAAGGCCUUAGGGUUGUAAAGCUCUUUUACCCGGGAUGAUAAUGACAGUACCGGGAGAAUAAGCUCCGGCUAACUCCGUG
rnacentral:rRNA from 1 species